GAUAAGUUAAAAGGAGUAGAAGACCCUCUCUUGUUCUCUUUGUUGAUCAGACUCUCUACUGAUUUUGACAUUUGAUUUGUGGUUUUAGGAGAGAAAAAUAGAGCAAAAGCAGGAAAACGCGCAGAAGAAACUCUAGAUGAAGAAGAAGCUGAGGAAGAGAGAGAGAAGGGAUCGUAUACAAAAUUCGUCCAAGAAAGAAGGGAUCAUGGUCACAUCAACAAUACUAUUUUACAAACGGCAUAAAGAGAAUCAUUUGUAAUGGAAGUUCGAAGAGAGAGCCAAAUGGAUGUUGGUGACACGCGAGAAUAUUGUUUUACUGAAGGCAUAAACAGAUUAUGGUAACAAAUUAAGUUGGGAAAAAAGAUAUGCAUCUUGGUAACCAAGUUGCGUGGAAAGAAAGUGACUGGAAUCGUGAAUUAAUUAUGGUAACUAAUUUGAUUUGGAUCCGACAGCAAUGAUGAGGCAAGAUAAUUGAGUCAAAAGAUAUUGAACUUGGAGAAAAAGAAACGUGGAAAGAAAGGUAGUAAAAGAAGAAUUGGUGACAAUGGAAUAGUCUGUGAUGCAUAUCUUGAAUUUAUGGCUGGUUGGUCUGUAUAUCCCGACGGCUUGGCAAACCAAGAAAUUCUGGAGGAUCCUCCAUUGACCAAUCUGCAAUUUUUUUACACGAGCAAGGAAGACUUUCUUACAG